AUCUCUAUUAGAAUUAUUUCGCGACAGAGCGAGCGAGCGAGAGAGAAGAUGGUGCACAGCGCCUACGACUCGGUGGAGCUCCUCAAGGGCUCGUCGGCGAGGAUCGAUGCUGCCGUCGCCUACGGCUCCAAAAUCCUCCUCGGAUGCUCUGAUUCCUCCCUCCGCAUUUACGCCCCCUCCUCCGCCACCGGAGACGGUGGUGGCGAUGAUGGGCCGCCGGCGGACGACCUAGAGAUCCAGAGGGAGGCCUACGUUUUGGAGAGGACGGUCUCGGGGUUCUGGAAGCGGGCCCCGCUGGCGAUGGAGGUGUGCCAGUCGCGGGACCUCCUCCUCUCCCUCUCGGAGUGGGUCGCCCUCCACCGGCUCCCCAAUCUGGAAACGGUGGUGGCGAUCGGGAAGACUAAGGGUGCUCAUAUAUUCUGCUGGGAUGACCGCAAAGGAUUCCUUUGCGUGGGGAGGCAGAAGAGGGUCGCAAUUUAUCGGCUUGAUGGUGGUAGAGAAUUUGUGGAGAUCAAGGACUUUGGUGUUCCUGAUGUAGUGAAAUCUAUGGCUUGGUGUGGGGAAAACAUAUGUGUCGGUGUCAGAAGAGAAUAUAUGAUAAUGAAUAGUACCACUGGUGCAUUAUCAGAGAUAUUUUCUUCAGGGAGGAUUGCUCCUUCAUUGGUUGCUCCUCUUUCCCCCGAAGAAUUGCUUCUUGGAAAGGAUAACAUUGGAGUUUUUGUCGAUCAAAAUGGAAAGCUUCUUCAAGAUGGCAGGAUAUGCUGGUCCGAGACACCAGGUUCUGUUAUUAUUCAAAAGCCAUAUGCAAUAGGUCGUCUACCAAGGCAUAUUGAGAUACGGUCCCUUAGAGCUCCUUAUCCAUUGAUUCAGACAGUUGGUCUUCGUGAUGUACGCUUGCUUCUUCAGAGCAACAGUUCCUUGAUUGCGGCAUUAAACAAUGCUGUUUAUUGUCUGCUACCUGUACCUCUUGGUGCACAGAUUGUACAAUUAACAGCUUCUGGAAAUUUUGAAGAGGCCUUGUCUUUGUGUAAGCUACUCCCUCCUGAGGAUGCAUCACUUAGAGCUUCCAAAGAAAGUUCAAUACAUAUCAGAUAUGCUCAUCAUUUAUUUGAUAAUGGGAGCUAUGAGGAGGCGAUGGAAGAAUUUCUGGCUUCACAAGUGGAUAUAACAUACGUUUUGUCACUGUAUCCAUCAAUUCUACUUCCCAAUCUGCAUACGAUUCCUGUGCUCGAGAAGUUUGUAGACUCUAAUGAUGAGCUUCUUCUCUCAAGGGCUUCAUCUGAUGCCUCAGAUGAGAUAGAAUCAUCUUUACCAUCCCAACAGAAUGAAUCUGGUAACCCCAUGCUUGAGAAUAAGAAAAUGAACCACAAUGCCCUUAUGGCUCUCGUAAAGUUCUUGCAGAAGAAAAGAUAUGGAAUAUUUGAAAGGGCUACAGCUGAGGUUACAGAGGAGGUUGUGCAGGAUAGUAUAUCAUCAUAUGAACCGUAUAGGUCAAAGGCUUCAAGUAAGAAACGUGGUAAUACGCAUAUCAGCUCUGUUGCUAGAGAAAUGGCAACUGUACUCGACACUGCUCUUCUCCAAGCUCUGAUUCUUACUGGACAACCGUCUGGUGCAUUGGAGCUUCUGAAAGGAUCAAACUACUGUGACUUGAAGAUUUGUGAAAAUUUUCUUAUGGAAAAAUGUCAGUACACAGUGCUUUUGGAACUUUACAAGUACAAUGAAAUGCACCGUGAUGCCCUCAAACUUCUUAAUCAGCUUAUUGAGGAAUCAAAUUCUGGUGGAGAAACAAAGUCUGAGCACACUAUGAAGUUCAGGCCAAAUAUGAUUAUCGAGUAUCUCAAGCCUCUUUGUAGGACUGAUCCCAUGAUUGUCUUAGAGUUCUCAAUGAAUGUUCUUGAAAGCUGCCCAACAGAGACUAUUGAGCUCUUCUUGUCUGGAAAUGUUCCAGCAGAACUGGUGAAUUCUUACCUGAAGCAGAAUGCUCCAAACAUGCAGUCAACCUAUUUAGAGCUUAUGCUUUCUAUGAGUGAAAAUGCAAUCAACCCAAAGCUUCAAAAUGAGCUGGUUCAUCUAUACCUCUCAGAAGUAGUUGACUGGUUCAAAGAUCUCAAGGAACAACAAAAAUGGGAUGAGAAACUUUAUUCCCCGACUCGGAAGAAGUUGCUUUCUGCCCUCGACAACAUUUCAGGUUAUAAUGCAGAUGAUUUGUUAAAGCGGCUUCCUAUUGAUGCUCUCUAUGAGGAGCGUGCAAUUUUACUUGGUCGGUUGAAUCAGCACCAGCUAGCAUUAUCUCUUUAUGUUCACAAGCUUCAAUUGCCAGAACUAGCACUCUCCUAUUGUGACCAUGUUUAUGAUACGGCACUCCAACAACCAUCAAGAGCAAAUGCUAAUAUUUACCUAACCCUUCUGCAAAUUUAUCUUAAUCCAAGGAGGGCGAUUAAAGAGCUUGAGCAAAGAACUGCAAGUCCGUUUACAGGAAUUUCACAAAGCCCUGGAAUUCAAAAAUCUGGUUAUGCUAAAACAAAAAUGAGCCGUCAGUCUAAGAAGAUUGUUGAAAUUGAAAGAGCUGACGAUAUGCGUAUCAGCCUCAGUGGCACUGAUAGCAGUCGAAGUGAUGGCGAUGUAGAUGAGGUAAUUGAUGAGGGAGAUUCAAUCAUGUUAAAAGAAGCACUUGAUCUUUUGGGCCAGAGAUGGGACAGGAUAAAUGGUGCUCAGGCAUUGCGAGUUUUACCAAGAGACAUAAAACUUCAGGAUUUGCUUCCCUUUCUCAAACCCCUCCUCAGAAAAUCUACUGAACGCCGCCAAAACUCUUCAGUGAUCAAGAACUUGACAUUCAAUGAGAAUUUGCAGCUAUACUUAACAGGUCAAAGAAGAGCUUUAUAAUUGCCGUCGAGCAAUAUUGAAAGUUGAUGCUGAUAGCAUGUGCUCUCUUUGCAAUAAGCGGAUUGGGAGCAGUGUAUUUGCAGUGUAUCCCAAUGGAAAAACACUCGUACAUUUUGUUUGCUUUAGAGAUUCACAGAGUAUUAAGGCUGUUAGAGGUCCCACAUCGACGAGGCGCAAAUAAUCCAUCCUUUUUCAACUCCGAAGCACGGCUCACUGCCCACAACAAGGAGCAAAGUUUCGUCUUCCUAUUUUGGUUCAGUUAUUGUGUUCUCCAUGGCAGCUUGGUGGAGAUCUGUUCGUUUUUGAGCAAAAAGCCUUAUGUUCACUUCAAGUAGCUUGUGCAAUGCCACCAUCCAUUUUGUGUUCAUCAUUCCAUUGUUGUGUCUCCUGAUCUUGAUAUCUCAUAUUUAUCAUUUUAUGUAUGAUUAUUUGUAAAAAAAAUAAUCUCUGUUUGUAUAUUUUGUUUGAUGCUGGAGGUGUUGCGUAAGAGUAUUUUCUUUAUCUUUCAGAACCUCUGCUUAAAUGAUAAUGUAUUUGUUUAAUUUAUUUUCCUGUGGAUC